rnacentral:rRNA from 1 species
AGAGUUUGAUCCUGGCUCAGGACGAACGCUGGCUGCGUGCUUAACACAUGCAAGUGGAACGCUGAAGCCCCAGCUUGCUGGGGUGGAUGAGUGGCGAACGGGUGAGUAACACGUGAGUAACCUGCCCCUGACUUCGGGAUAAGCCCGGGAAACUGGGUCUAAUACCGGAUACGACUGCCGGACGCAUGUCUGGUGGUGGAAAGUUUUUUCGGUUGGGGAUGGGCUCGCGGCCUAUCAGUUUGUUGGUGAGGUAAUGGCUCACCAAGACGACGACGGGUAGCCGGCCUGAGAGGGCGACCGGCCACACUGGGACUGAGACACGGCCCAGACUCCUACGGGAGGCAGCAGUGGGGAAUAUUGCACAAUGGGGGAAACCCUGAUGCAGCGACGCAGCGUGCGGGAUGACGGCCUUCGGGUUGUAAACCGCUUUCAGCAGGGAAGAAGCCUUCGGGUGACGGUACCUGCAGAAGAAGUACCGGCUAACUACGUGCCAGCAGCCGCGGUAAUACGUAGGGUACGAGCGUUGUCCGGAAUUAUUGGGCGUAAAGAGCUCGUAGGUGGUUGGUCACGUCUGCUGUGGAAACGCAACGCUUAACGUUGCGCGUGCAGUGGGUACGGGCUGACUAGAGUGCAGUAGGGGAGUCUGGAAUUCCUGGUGUGGCGGUGAAAUGCGCAGAUAUCAGGAGGAACACCGGUGGCGAAGGCGGGACUCUGGGCUGUAACUGACACUGAGGAGCGAAAGCAUGGGGAGCGAACAGGAUUAGAUACCCUGGUAGUCCAUGCCGUAAACGUUGGGCACUAGGUGUGGGGGGCAUUCCACGUUCUCCGCGCCGUAGCUAACGCAUUAAGUGCCCCGCCUGGGGAGUACGGUCGCAAGGCUAAAACUCAAAGGAAUUGACGGGGGCCCGCACAAGCGGCGGAGCAUGCGGAUUAAUUCGAUGCAACGCGAAGAACCUUACCAAGGCUUGACAUACACCAGACCGGUCUGGAAACAGGUCUUCCCCUUUGGGGUUGGUGUACAGGUGGUGCAUGGUUAUCGUCAGCUCGUGUCGUGAGAUGUUGGGUUAAGUCCCGCAACGAGCGCAACCCUCGUUCUAUGUUGCCAGCACGUGAUGGUGGGAACUCAUAGGAGACUGCCGGGGUCAACUCGGAGGAAGGUGGGGAUGACGUCAAAUCAUCAUGCCCUUUAUGUCUUGGGCUUCACGCACGCUACAAUGGCUGGUACAGAGAGAGGCGAACCCGUGAGGGCAAGCGAAUCCCUUAAAGCCAGUCUCAGUUCGGAUCGUAGUCUGCAAUUCGACUACGUGAAGUCGGAGUCGCUAGUAAUCGCAGAUCAGCAACGCUGCGGUGAAUACGUUCCCGGGCCUUGUACACACCGCCCGUCAAGUCACGAAAGUCGGUAACACCCGAAGCCGGUGGCCUAACCCCUUGUGGGAGGGGGCCGUCUAAGGUGGGACUGGUGAUUGGGACUAAGUCGUAACAAGGUAACCA